CCCCCCACUGCUAAAUUUGACUGGUU
rnacentral:piRNA from 4 species